AAUCAACGCUGGCGGCGUGCCUAACACGUGCAAGUCGAACGAGAAAGUGGCAGCAAUGCCAUGAGUACAGUGGCGCACGGGUGAGUAACACGUGACUAACCUACCCAGGAGUGGGGAAUAACUUCGGGAAACCGAGGCUAAUACCGCAUAACACCUACGGGUCAAAGGAGCAAUUCGCUUCUGGAGGGGGUCGCGGCCGAUUAGUUAGUUGGCAGGGUAAUGGCCUACCAAGACGAUGAUCGGUAUCCGGCCUGAGAGGGCGCACGGACACACUGGAACUGAAACACGGUCCAGACUCCUACGGGAGGCAGCAGUGGGGAAUUUUGCGCAAUGGGGGAAACCCUGACGCAGCAACGCCGCGUGGAGGAUGAAGUCCUUCGGUACGGUAAACUACCUUU
rnacentral:rRNA from 1 species